GAUGAACGCUGGCGGCGUGCUUAACACAUGCAAGUCGAACGAAGCACCUCUCCCGAAGCUUGACACAGCUUGCUGUAGAUUGAUUCAUUUGAGGUGACUGAGUGGCGGACGGGUGAGUAACGCGUGGGUAACCUGCCUCAUAGAGGGGGACAACAGUUGGAAACGACUGCUAAUACCGCAUAGUAAGAAGAAUUCGCAUGUUUUCUGCUUGAAAGAUUUAUCGCUAUGAGAUGGACCCGCGUCUGAUUAUCUAGUUGGUAAGGUAACGGCUUACCAAGGCGACGAUCAGUAGCCGGCUUGAGAGAGUGAACGGCCACAUUGGGACUGAGACACGGCCCAAACUCCUACGGGAGGCAGCAGUGGGGAAUAUUGCACAAUGGGGGAAACCCUGAUGCAGCGACGCCGCGUGAGUGAAGAAGUAUUUCGGUAUGUAAAGCUCUAUCAGCAGGGAAGAUAAUGACGGUACCUGACUAAGAAGCCCCGGCUAACUACGUG
rnacentral:rRNA from 1 species